rnacentral:lncRNA from 1 species
CAUUACUUAAAGGAAGAUGGGCAAGGAGGGUGUUGCAACCAGAGUUUUAGCAGGAGGCAUUACAUCACAGUAAGCUGCGUCACGGGUGUCAUUUGUGAUGAUUUGAAACCAUAGAAACAAAUCAAAGCUACAGCUCAUGUUUGCAUUGAGCUAAGAUUGCAGGCGCGUGAACUGUUCACACCACCAAAAAUGAGUAAUUUCACUGCUGUAGAAAGAAGACUAGUGACAAAGAUGGAACAGUGAGAAAAGCACCACAUCAGAACUCUGUGAAUCUCUUGCUACUAAUUUUGCUCAAGUACCCAUCCCUUUAGCAUACCACCUAUGUUUAAGGAAAUGGCUCCAUCCCCAACUCAGGCAAAUGUAUUCUGAUUAUUUUAAGCCAUUUAUCUUAGUUCCAUGGUAUCCUUUUUAGGCCAAAGAGAUAUGAGGAGGGGUUGGAUGAAGGCUUCUGGAAAAAUUUCUCCACUUUUAAGUAGGUAACACUGAAAAAUCAGACCUUUUCAGCUUCUCCACUUCAUUCUGUCUGGAUGUGAUACCUAGAAAUGCUACCAGCUGAGGAAGAAGCCAAAAUGUGGAGAAGGACAGAAUCAAGAGAAUUGCAAAGAAGCUGAGUUGGAAUCCUGACAAACCACGCUGGAGUGGCCCUACCUCCGUUGUUUCAGGCAUUUUGAGUCAGGGCUUUCUGGUACUUACAGUCAAAGGCAUCUAAAUGACAGUCUCCAAAAUUCACCAUAGCAUUGUGUAAGAGGCAA